rnacentral:rRNA from 1 species
GACGAACGCUGGCGGCGUGCCUAAUACAUGCAAGUCGAGCGAAGUUUUUCUGGUGCUUGCACCGGAAAACUUAGCGGCGAACGGGUGAGUAACACGUAAAGAACCUGCCUCAUAGACUGGGACAACUAUUGGAAACGAUAGCUAAUACCGGAUAACAGCAUUAACUGCAUGGUUGAUGUUUAAAAGUUGGUUUUGCUAACACUAUGAGAUGGCUUUGCGGUGCAUUAGCUAGUUGGUGGGGUAAAGGCCUACCAAGGCGACGAUGCAUAGCCGACCUGAGAGGGUGAUCGGCCACACUGGGACUGAGACACGGCCCAGACUCCUACGGGAGGCAGCAGUAGGGAAUCUUCCGCAACGGGCGAAAGCCUGACGGAGCAACGCCGCGUGAGUGAAGAAGGAUUUCGGUUCGUAAAGCUCUGUUGUUAGGGAAGAAUGAUUGUGUAGUAACUAUACACA